ACUUUCUUCAGGGCUAUCAGAUGAAGGCAGCAACGAAAACACCACCACAAGACCAACUUCAGGCUGGAGCUGAUGAUGCCACACAGCGAGAAAAAAGGGGCUUCCUGGAGCUCCUGCAACCCCAGGCAUUAGUUCCGGUGCAGUUCUAGGAUCAGAUCAAUUCACUCGACAACAAGAGAAACAAAUGGAGAUUCCUACACAAAGACUUUCAAGCACAAAGAAAUCCUGCUGCCUGUAAAGCGGAGCUGCCUCAGCCCUUGAUGAACGACAGAAAAUACCACCUACUGCCAGACCUCAACGCCUCACAAAACUCUCACCCACCUACUGCUUUUAGCUCACAUUCCAGGAAUUCAGAUGAAGUGAAGUGCUCUCAUGGGGACCAGGCAUGGUUAUGCCAGUCCACUGCCCUGCAAGCCUCAAGGGAAGCCAACUGCCCUUCAGCAAGUCACACCUGCCUUGGUGGAGGCCUUGAUUGGAAGUGCCACACGCUACAUGUCCAGUCCUGAGCGGGAGAAUCGGUGUAGGGACGUUCUGGGGAUGCCAGCUGUGGCCAGAUCAGGUCCAACUACAGAAGAAUAAUGAAGACUCCACCUGAGGGCUGGAAAAACAAAACCUCAAGUGUGAGGCAGCCAACCUGUUACCUCGAGGGACUGUUCCGCAGCACAGCGGGGCCAUGGGAACAGCAGCAGACACCCCGACCUCC
ensembl:lncRNA novel transcript